GAUGAACGCUGGCGGCGCGCCUAACACAUGCAAGUCGAACGAUUAAAGCACCUUCGGGUGUGUAUAAAGUGGCGAACGGCUGAGUAACACGUGGGCAACCUGCCCCUUUCAUUGGGAUAGCCACGGGAAACCGUGGAUAAUACCGAAUACUUCGAGACUUCCGCAUGGAAGACUCGAGAAAGCUCCGGCGGAGAGGGAUGGGCCCGCGGCCUGUUAGCUUGUUGGUGGGGUAACGGCCUACCAAGGCAAUGAUGGGUAGCUGGGUUGAGAGACCGACCAGCCAGAUUGGGACUGAGACACGGCCCAGACUCCUACGGGAGGCAGCAGUGGGGAAUCUUGCACAAUGGGCGAAACCCUGAUGCAGCGACGCCGCGUGCGGGAUGAAGGCCUUCGGGUUGUAAACCGCUUUCAGCAGGGACGAGGCGAAAGUGACGGUACCUGCAGAAGAAGCCCCGGCUAACUACGUG
rnacentral:rRNA from 1 species